AUGGGGGUGCAGAAAGGAAGAAGGAAGGGAGCAAGGAAGAAAAAAGAAAUGGGGGAGGGGGGAGGAACCCUUCCUCCACAAGAUAUCGAAGCCUCUCCCUCUUCAUCUGCAAGCCAGUGGACUGCAGAAGAACUAGCUACAUCUCCAAAUAGAAGUAUCUAGAAUAUGAAAGAAAAAGGAGGUUUGCUUAAGGCUUAAGAACAAACACUCGAGUGUGCUUUGUAUGAUGCUGGAGGCUUCUUUGGAGCUCAAUUUCCAAAUACAGAAUGCAGCACAGGGAGUUGGAAGAGGCCUGGGCACUGAGGGACACUCCUGACCUUCCAGCAAAGCAUCUCCAUUGGGAGUGGAAGGCAAGACACAGCCACACAGAGUUUGUGGCCUUGGGGAAAAACACAAGUCCAUCAUCCCUAUAACUGAAACCUAUGUGUUCCCAUUUUAGUCUCCUACCUUAAAAUCGGGGAAAACUGUUUCCAGUGCAAAUACUUGACCAUGAGCAAGGAUAACAUAGCAAAACAGGAAGAAGCAAGCCUUUGGUGCUGGAAGAAAAAACUGGGGAAGGGGUAGAUCAACCCACAAGCAGCCCCUUCUAGAGCUACCUGCUCUGCUCUUCCCUUUGGAUUCACUUUUGGUGUUUUCUGAGACCCCAGCAAAGGGGCCUUUCUCCUCAAAUGACUACUUCAGAAUUCUAUCAUUGCUUAUGUCCUAUCCCUUCCAGAAAGCCAGCAUCAGAGCCACCCAGUCUGACAACCCAUUUGGCAUGGAAGUGUUAAUGACUGACAGCUACCAGCCAGCUCAGCUCAACUCAAAUCAGGCUUGUCUGGACUGAUAAGCAACUGGCAUGGGGGUUAAUGGCUGAUGAGCUACUAGGCUGUACAGGUCAACUUCGUUUGUUAGAACAUACCCAGAAAGAAUAACUUCCAAAGUGGAGAUCCUAGGGAGGGGCCAGAUGGAGACUGAAGGCAUCGGAGAAGAAAGACUUUUGAAGCAGGUGUCGAAACAGACCACACAGAGGCAUGAUCAAACCUCUGCCUGUCUUUCUGAAUAUUUUGGCUAAUUGAGACGUUGCUGUCCUAUACACACACAUCCACAUGUGCACAAGUGCACAUGCCCUUGUGGCCUAAGCACUUCUAUCCCUUGGUCAUCCAUGCUCUAACACCUGGAAAGCUUUCAGAUUAUCAAAAUUGAGAUCCUGGCUUCUAUCAAUAGGAGCAAGUCAGUAGAAAGGACCGUAAAAACACAAACAGGACAGAAUUUGAGUGUCUAUAUCAAAGCAAGAUCUAGUCAGGUGUCAACAUGAGACUGUAGUGGAAUAAGAGGAGUGCAGGAGAUAAGGAGCACAGAUAUUGCCACAGGAGCAGAGAACAAUGUACGUAGAGUCUUCCAUUAGAAAAACUUCUUGUCCUCUUCUAUCCAGAGAGAUGCCUUUGUCAUCAGAGGUAAGAUGUAGAUAUCUGAUUUAAAGAUGGAUACCAUCUCAGACCCUUAGUGAGAGUGAUGCAUGAAGAAAAUCAAUAUAUUUCUCCAUUUGUGUGUACACCUACAAACACACGCACACACACAUACAAUAGCAAACACACACACACACACACACACACAUAAAUGUAAAUAAAAAACAACUAACAGAUUACUUUUUUGUUCUUGAAUUUUUAUAUAGCAUAUUUCAUUUCUCUUGGAUACUGACAUUUAAGACACUGCCAUUGUCGGUCAGUAGCCUCUGUCUGACAUGUCUCCAGGGCUCAGAGGAACAAAUAGCUGACUGAGGUUAUCAUCAGCAAGUUUUUAGGAUUAAAAAAAGAUGCAUAAAGUUCUACUUAUCAUGUUGUGAAGAAAUCCAAACUUUAAUUCUGCUUCCCUUUGAGGUUGAUAAAAACAAGAGGCUAAGAAUAGACUCAAGAAAUUAGACAAUGAUAAAAAGAGGGUACACGGGGCUUUGGGAAGGCCCACUUACUGUCUGAACAUUGCAUUGGAGGAGCCCUGCUCUGUCUUCAGGGCAUCCGGGAAAGAAUCAUAGCUGCCUCUCCUUGAAGCUCAGCACAGUAAGCCAUCAAUGCUGGGAACGGAUAGGUAACACCCAUUUCAGGCUCCUGCUGCCUGGCCAGGGCCUGAGUGGGGCACUUUUCUCCUGCCUAGCCAAGGAGCUGAGUGGGGCACUUUUUUCCAGAGCCCUGCAUUUUUUGAGGAUGGAGUGAAUGUUUAUGUUUUCAUGAGGCCAUGUGAAAAGAAUGUGGAUAUUAGGAAAGAGCCCUAUUUGUCCAAAUGACAAUUGCUAGAUCCGCUAUGGGCAGCCAUGUUCUCUCUUCCACGGAGUCAGAGUCAGGAAAGACAGAGAAAGGGACAGUGUCUGGCGUCGAGGAUCUAAGGCGUCGAGGAUCUAUGCUCAGAUUCCUUCCAGAUGAGUUUCCUGCCACUUUCUGCUUAUAAUUUUUCACUAGUGACUUAAUUUCUUUGGUUACCAAACAUUUCAAAGCGGUUGGUUUCAUGGCGUCUAUGAGGUGAUGAGCCCAGUGUCUUGCAUGAAUGAACUGUGCAGGGAGAAGGUGUGAAUAAAAUAAUAAAGAGUGCACAAAUAUGUAUAACUCGUUUGAAUCAAUAUUCAUGCCUGGUUACAGCAUGGGGCCGUCUCAGAUGUUGUCACACCAGGCCCGACUGGCCCCUGCAGACGUCCCCUGCAGUAAUUUCCUCAGGAAGUGAGCUCACCUCCCUUCAUGGAAGAGUGUUCUAAAAUGCUGGUGUUUCGCUCAGGCUGUCUCUGAAAGUCAAAGCCUCCAAACCAAGGAUGACAGACAACUGGGCCUUCUCUUCUGCAUGCUCAGAAGAGGCCCUGGUUCAUGGACAAACACAGACUAGCUGGUCCAAAAUCUUCCUGCAUUUCCCCAUCUCUUUUCUCCUCCCACCUGACUCCACACUUGUCUGGAAAUGAGUCAGGAUGGAUGAAAUACAGACAGCUGUGAGCCGUUUGAAGUCGGGAAGAAGCACUGGAUGAGAAGAUUGGAUGGCACCUGAAAAUUCACAAGUUGUUCAGUUGGAGACCAAGAUCAAAGUGCUGGACAGAAUGUUCCACCUAGGAGAAGCAUCCCUCCUCCAUGGUACCCAGCUGGUGGCUCCUGAGAUGCAGUGGCAGCUUAGGGAGAUGGAAUACAUGGGUUCUGGAGUGGACCUUUAAGGCUGUGUUGGUGUCUUAGCUGAUCUCACUACCCUUCUCUGCUUCCUGGUUGCUGUGAGGUGGUUGGUGCUUAAGCUCUUGGACCAUAAGGAAAACAAGAGGUGCCUCUGUUUAAAAGCCUUGCAGAGAAAAAUGGAUCAAAGGUGUCAGCGAGAGUGAGGUGGGCCAGCUCAUCUAAAAAACAGCUCAAGUGCAUUUACUGGAAACUUGAUUUUAAAUACUUUGUGCUGGUCAGCUGGAGCUGAGACAUUAGCUGUGAUUAAGAAGAGACAAGCAUCAUGGAACUGAAAUCUUCUGGGAAGUAUUUCCUCGGAGUCAGCACACGGAAGCUGGGUUCCAGAUGUGGCCAAGGUUGUGCUUCGAACUGGUAGCCAAACUAAGUAAUGUGUAAGAGUCACCCAGGUGGUGCCAGUUUUGACAGUGUGAAGGGGUCAUGGGCAGCAGCCGAGUCUCGGUACUGUGUGGCAGGGUUGGAGUCCCUAAGAGAGCCCAGAAGAGGCUAUUGGUGAAAGCACAGCCCAGCUGCAGCAGAAGACGCUAGCAUUUGGGAGAUGGUAGUACCAUGUGAUGACCACCAAGAAGAGCAGCAAUGGAGCAGACUCAGCCAGAGCCUGGAAAACAAGCUGUGUGUCACAGAGGGCAGAGCUAGAAAAAUGACUCGGGCCCCUUGGAGGAGCCCAGAGGAUCAUGAGUGAAUCAUAGAUAACUGGGCAUUACGUUAUUUACACUGGAGUUUGGUUUUGCUUUGUUUAGAUGGUGACUAUACCCUGGUUCUUCCCUCUUGAAAUAAGAAUUUAAUUUAUUAUGGAUAUGAUAGGAGCCCACAACUGAGAGACUUUGGAUUUUUCAAAGAGACUUGAUUUCUAAGUGUUUGAACGUGUAAAGACUGCAGGACUUUUUAAGUCUAUGAACUGUUUCAUAUUGUGAUGCUGAUGUUAAUAUGUGAUCUCAGGAGUGGAUAGGAAGGGAAAGGUUGUAGCUUAACAGUUCUGUGUUUGUCAAGCUGACAAGGGGUUGAUUGUUCUGGUGAGUUUUGUGUCAAUCUGGCACAAGCUACAUUCAGCUGAGAGAAGAAACUUCAAUUUAAAAAUGCCUCCAGAGGGGCUGGAGAGAUGGCUCAGCGGUUAAGAGCACUGACUGCUCUUCCUAAAGGUCCUGAGUUCAAAUCCCAGCAACCAUAUGGUGGCUCACAACCAUCUGUAAUGUGAUCUGAUGCUCUCUUCUGAAGACAGCUACAGUGUACUUAGAUAUAAUAAUAAAUAAAUCUUUAAAAAAAAUUUAAAAAUGCCUCCAGAAUAUGGGGCUGUAGGCAAGCCUGCAGGGUAUUUUCUUAAUUAGUGAUUGAUGAGUUGGGGGGGGGGGCAAACCAUUGUAGGUGGGCCACAAUGUCCUGUGCUUUGUAAGAAAGCAGGUGGACUGAGCCAUGAAAACCAAGCCAGUGAGCAGUGUUUGUUUCUGCUUCCGUUCCUGCCUUGAGUUCCUGCCCUGACUUCCCCUGAUGAUAGACUAUCAACUGUAAGAUGAAAUAAACCAUUUAUUUC